rnacentral:misc_RNA from 1 species
UUGCCUUCGAAGGUCGGCCAAAACAUGGUGUACAUAGAUUCGAAUACAAUUGACACAAAUUUGCAAGGCUGUGUAUAUGAUUCCAAAAAAAAUUAAAGGCAUUAGUUAUAAUUUAAAUUUUAGCAAAGUUUUGGAUUUUUUUCUUCUUUUUAGCUUUAAGCCUUAAAAAUUACACCUAUUUUUAAUUUCCCCUAAGCAAAACCAAAUGCUAAAUGUUUGAG